rnacentral:rRNA from 1 species
CCUACGGGAGGCAGCAGUGGGGGAUAUUGCACAAUGGGGGAAACCCUGAUGCAGCGACGCCGCGUGUGGGAAGACGGUCCUCUGGAUUGUAAACCACUGUCCCCAGGGACGAGGAUGACGGUACCUGGGGAGGAAGCACCGGCUAACUAAGUGCCAGCAGCCGCGGUAAUACGUAGGGAGCGAGCGUUGUCCGGAAUUACUGGGUGAAAAGGGAGCGUAGGCGGGGAUGCAAGUUGGGUGUCAAAACUACCGGCUCAACUGGUAGUCGCACUCAAAACUGCAGCUCUUGAGUGAAGUAGAGGCAGGCGGAAUUCCUAGUGUAGCGGUGAAAUGCGUAGAUAUUAGGAGGAACACCAGUGGCGAAGGCGGCCUGCUGGGCUUUUACUGACGCUGAGGCUCGAAAGUGUGGGGAGCAAACAGGAUUAGAUACCCGAAUAGUC